UACGAAGGGGGCUAGCGUUGUUCGGAAUUACUGGGCGUAAAGAGCGCGCAGGCGGUCGUUCAAGUCGCGUGUGAAAGCCCCCGGCUCAACUGGGGAGGGUCACGCGAUACUGAUCGACUCGAAGGCAGGAGAGGGUAGUGGAAUUCCCGGUGUAGUGGUGAAAUGCGUAGAUAAUCGGGAGGAACACCAGUGGCGAAGGCGACUACCUGGCCUGUUCUUGACGCUGAGGCGCGAAAGCUAGGGGAGCAAACGGGG
rnacentral:rRNA from 1 species